UACGAGGGGGGCAAGCGUUGUUCGGAAUUAUUGGGCGUAAAGGGUGCGUAGGCGGUUUGGUAAGUCUUAUGUGAAAUCUACAGGCUCAACUUGUAGUCUGCAUGAGAAACUGCCGGGCUUGAGUAUGGGAGAGGUGAGUGGAAUUCCUGGUGUAGCGGUGAAAUGCGUAGAUAUCAGGAGGAACACCUGUGGCGAAAGCGGCUCACUGGACCGCAACUGACGCUGAGGCGCGAAAGCUAGGGGAGCAAACAGG
rnacentral:rRNA from 1 species